CAGCAGCCGCGGUAAUACGGAGGGAGCUAGCGUUGUUCGGAAUUACUGGGCGUAAAGCGCGCGUAGGCGGUUACUCAAGUCAGAGGUGAAAGCCCGGGGCUCAACCCCGGAACUGCCUUUGAAACUAGAUGGCUAGAAUCUUGGAGAGGUCAGUGGAAUUCCGAGUGUAGAGGUGAAAUUCGUAGAUAUUCGGAAGAACACCAGUGGCGAAGGCGACUGACUGGACAAGUAUUGACGCUGAGGUGCGAAAGCGUGGGGAGCAAACAGGAUUAGAUACCCCAGUAGUCCCUGUCUCUUAUAC
rnacentral:rRNA from 1 species